rnacentral:tRNA from 1 species
CCCUAGGUGGUGCAAAUGGUUAACGCACUUGGCUCCUAACCAAAAGGAUGAAGGUUUGAGUCCAUCCAGAGGCA